GGACGAUAAGCACAAGUGUCUGAGGUGGCUGAAAGACCCCGUGCAGGUGUCGAGCUGAGCACC
rnacentral:snoRNA from 1 species